rnacentral:rRNA from 1 species
AUUGAACGCUAGCGGGAUGCUUUACACAUGCAAGUCGAACGAGUGGCGGACGGGUGAGUAAUAUAUCGGAACGUGCCCAGUAGCGGGGGAUAACUACUCGAAAGAGUGGCUAAUACCGCAUACGAUUGGAGCGGCCGAUAUGGGAUUAGCUCGUUGGUGGGGUAAAGGCUCACCAAGGCGACGAUCCGUAGCUGGGUUGAGAGGAUGACCAGCCACACUGGGACUGAGACACGGCCCAGACUCCUACGGGAGGCAGCAGUGGGGAAUUUUGGACAAUGGGGGAAACCCUGAUCCAGCCAUCCCGCGUGUAUGAGAAGGCCUUCGGGUUGUAAAGUACUUUUGGCCGAGAAGCGUUACCUGCAGAAUAAGCACCGGCUAACUACGUGCCAGCAGCCGCGGUAAUUC